ACGCUCUUCUGAUACCCUAACCUGCUGAAGCGGUACAGCUACCUAGAAAGUUUUCAGUGUGGAGCUUAUUGUGCAGAGGCAAAGAGGCAGUACUAAGGGGAAAGGAGGCUGUGCUGACAAGAUUUGGCUGACUACUAGUAUGAAAAAGGCACAGGAAUCCCACUGGAAAACUGACUUUGGAUAUAGAGUAUCUAAGAUGCACAUAAAAAUAUUUCCUUUAUAGAUUUUUUUUUUAAAGUUGUACUUCAUAUUUUAUUAUAUUCACAUUUUAAUCUUUCUUGCACAUUCAGGAAAGUAACAGACUUGUAUACGGUGGCAUGAAUUUUAAACUUGUGAU